AUUCUUAAAGUGCCUUUCAUGUGGUCUUUUGCUCAAGAUUCUACUUUAUUCCUUCGCGAUCAAGGAUUUAGGGUUUAACGAAGUCGGAUGAUGUUGGUAGCAGUAAAUAACUCUUUUUCCUCUUCGAAAAGUAGCUCUGAAUUGUGAAUUACGCUUAUCUUUUAUUAGUGUGUAUUUUGCGUAUGUCAAUGCGAGGAUUUUCGACAAGGCACAUUUGCGCCUUCUUCAGUGAUUCGUUUGACUGGAUAUAGGAAUUUUGAACAUGCCACCAUCGUGACAUCAGAGCAGCUUGUACAACUGGGCAAGCUACACUACUGUUUCUUGUUCGAUAUAUUAGGAGUUAAUUCCGCAUGGAAGAGCUUUGAUCUAGAAGUGUCCAGUUUAGAAACAUGUGAAUGGGUUUGAGGGAACUCAACGUCUGGUGCGAACUUACAAGGGGAUUUUGCUUUAUGGAAUAUUUGUCCAAUAGUUCUUGUGGCGAUUUCGUAAGUGCGUCUUCUAGAAGCAGAGAACGACUUUUUGCGGCACUCUGUAAACCAGCAUAACCUUGCUCUUCAAUGCGAACGAGCCCUUCGCAAGAGAUGGCAAUGACCCCAAUGCUGUCUGGAGGAUGGUACUCUUUCGAGAGACAACAGUGUCGUGCAUUCUUCCUUACUUAGGUCGUGUAUUUAUGUCAAGGAGGCUGGCUUAGCCCAGCCCAGCUCUUACAUGCUUUUCUACAUACAUCGUCUGAUUAUCACAGGGAUUUGUUUCACUUCUACACCUUGAUUUUUUGAUUAUUUGCCUUGCAAAGUAGGGGUACUUUCUUCAGGUGGUACUGAUUAGGUCUCAGAUGAAGACCGCUAUUGAAAUUUUCUGUGCGUACAACCCCUCUCCUUUAAAUCGUUGCGUCUAUUGCCCUUGCAA